GGAGGUGAAAGGGGGCUGGUGUCCCUCCCGGUCUUCAAAACCGGUGGGACGAGGAGACUCGUCCGGCGGGUUCGAUUCCCGUCCACCUCCG
rnacentral:tRNA from 1 species